AGAGUUUGAUCAUGGCUCAGGACAAACGCUGGCGGCGUGCCUAACACAUGCAAGUCGAACGCCCUGCUUUCGGGCAGGGAGUGGCGGACGGGUGAGCAACACGUGGCUACCUACCCCUAAGUGAGGAAUACCGGCGAGAAAUCGCCGACAAGACCGCAUACGCUUCGCAAGAAGCAAAGCCGCAAGGCGCUUGGGGAGGG
rnacentral:rRNA from 1 species